rnacentral:miRNA from 1 species
AUAUAUAUAUAUAUAUAUAUAUAUAUAUAUAUAUGUAUAUAUAUAUACAUACACAUAUAUAUACACAUAUACAUACACACACAAAUAUAUAUAUAUAUAUAUAUAUA